rnacentral:lncRNA from 1 species
CACCCUUUUCAUUUCAGAACAAAUAGAGUAUGGGGAUCACUGCAACAUUGUCAAGCCUUUCUGACACUUCAUCAGAAAACACAAGCAUAGGAAAUUUGUGGUCAUAUUUCUCGGCCUCCCAGGUGCACUCUUUUAUGAACAGAUCAUCGUUAGGGGGUUUUCAGUUACAAUUGAAAAGAUGUCUAAUGUCCUAAAGAACUAUCAGAAGUGACAGAAAUGCAAAAGUGGAAAGAGAAAUGUGACCAGUCACCCAUAAGAGAAAGAAUGAGAUCAAUGAUCUGAUAGUCUGUGCACCAAAAAAUAUACAGCUUCUCCAGAUACAGCAGUUGGUCUGAUGGCUUUCCCUUUAUAAACUCUGUGGUUCUGAAGGCUUCCAGUCCUCCUACAUCCUGUCAUUUUGUCCAAGGCUGAAUUUUCAUGAAGGUGCCCACACAUGAUACUCUUCUGAUACUUUUCCAGAUCAUUUGCACCACUUGGAGAAACAGAGCGGAUUCAAGGACAAGAUGAAGGGAUGUAUGACGCCAGGACAAAGACUGUGACUACUCUGGCACAGCAGUACUAGAGGGAUGCAUUUUGUGGUCUUCGCUCAGGAAUAAUGGCACCUAAGAGCACAUGGGUCCAAUGGACGUCAAAAGCAUUUAGAAAUGAUGCACCCUUGCAGACUAGUUAUUUUUACCUACCAAGUAUCCUGGAAAUAGAAGACGUUUGUCUUUAUAUGAAGAUAUGAAGCAAACUUUGACAGUGAUCCAGGAAGUUGAACAAUUACUUAAGGUGAAGCAUAUCACUGGUGCAGCUAUCAACGGAGCCAUCCACAUUUUUUCAACAACAAAAAAUAUGAAGCCAUUUCCAGUCAGUUCCCUCCUGUCCUGCAUUUGUGGCCCAGUCUUUCCUCUGUUUAAGUCAAUCAGGACGUAUUCAUUGACUUAAACUGGAGCAGAUGAAGUUCUUCAACUUGCACAGGCUAAGAAGCCGGAGAGCUGAAUGUUUUCUACGAGCCAAGAGGAUUCAGUUGCAUCCCAUUUACAGGAUGAAUAGGAUUCAGUUUCAUCCGAAAGGAGCCUGGGUCAUCCAGACCGCACAGCAGUGAGAACAAAAGCACAGAAAAUGGGAACCAUUGGGAGACUGGCCUCUAAAGCACCUACAACCCUGACUACAUCUGUGAUGGCGACAAGCUCCCAGUGGGUCACAAUAAAUACCCAGUGGCAAUGGAGACAAGUGGGUGGAGUAUAAGAGUGCCUGGAGUUAACAUAAUGAAACUGAAUCCUUUUCUUGAACAAGAAGUGAAAUAAACUUUAAAUCAAAGUCUCCAUUAAGGCCCCUUCUGCAAGAUGCUACUUUCAGUUUCUGAUAAUCAUUAUAAAUGGAGCAGAUUGGAAAAACUCAAAUGGAUCCAAUAUGAAAAGCCUCGCUGCCUCCAGUCACUGCAGGGGGAGAGGAAUGCAGCCCCACUUACCUCCAAACUCAUUUUGGUCUUCCUACACCCCGACAGUAAAAUACAUGUGGAAAACCAGAAAUGCUGUGAGGUGAUGACAAUUACCUGAAGAUAUGAAGAUGAGCAGUGAACAGACCAGAGAAGAGAAGUCAGGUGUGGAUGGCCAGGCCACACCAUACUUCUGUACUCAUUAAGAAAAUAAAUAAACUCUUAGUUGGAUACAUUAAAAAAGAGUUGGUGGUUUCCAGCUGCAACUCACUUUAGUUCUUUAAAAUUAUCCUUGCGUUUCUGUUUAAGAAUUUACCUUGAGGAGGGAUGGGAAUCUGCUGCAUGCUACCAUCUGUCUUUCCUUAGAAAUACAGCACAAUAAAAGUGAGAUUGUCUUGUCUCUUUUAUAAGGUUAGUAAGAAAGCUUUGAUUGCUUCUUCUCUUAUUCACUAGAAAUUUAUAGUAAGAUGUUAUAUUUUCCUUUUGUCUGUUUGCCACAACAUCUGAGCUGUGUGUGAAAGACUGUGCCCUGUGGAUGAGAAGGUGCUUCACAGAGAGCAGCUUCAGUGAGCCAACUUAUUCACCAUGGUUCAAAGAUGGAAACUCCCCUCCAUUCUCAGAAUUUUGGUGCUUUUUGUUAUAUUCUGGGAUACUGUUGUGGUUAUAGCUUACUUCUGCCCCUUCUCCUGAAAUGCCCAAAUUUCUGUGAUGUGAGUUUUGUUCUACUUUUAGGAUGCCAAGUGGAAGAUUAUUCUAUUUCACUUUUGAGUCCUUUCCUGUUAUUACCUCAAACAUCGACAACAAAUUUUUCAGCCUUUCCCUUUUCUGAAGCAGUGGUGACAAAGUUCCUCUUUCUUUCCCCUUCUUCUUUUUCUUUUAAAACACAAAGAAACAAAACAUUCUCCAGAUGUUUUGUGAUCUAAUCCCUUAUUAACUUUGGAAAGAUCCUUUCUACCACAGGGAUCAGAUUCAUUAAUCUAUGGCUUCCUGACUCCUCUCCUACAGUAUUUCCAGGAAUGCAGAUACCUAUUUUGGCAUGGAAUCUGUAUUCCAUGAGCACAAACCUUCAAAUAUAUCUAUUUAC